rnacentral:rRNA from 1 species
CAAUAGCGUAUAUUAAAGUUGUUGCAGUUAAAAAGCUCGUAGUUGGAUUUCUGGUAGGAGUGACCGUUCCGAACUUGAUUGUUCGUGUAUUGUGUUUUCUCCAGCCAUCCUUGUGGAGAACUUUUCUUGCAUUAAUUUGUAGGGAUUGGGACCCGCAUCGUUUACUGUGAAAAAAUUAGAGUGUUUAAAGCAGGCAAUCGCUUGAAUACAUUAGCAUGGAAUAAUAAGAUAGGACUUUGGUACUAUUUUGUUGGUUUGCAUACCAAAUUAAUGAUCAACAGGAACAGUUUGAGGAUAUUCGUAUGAACAUGUCAGAGGUGAAAUUCUUGGAUUUUGAUCAGACGAACUACUGCGAAAGCAUUUAUCAAGGAUGUUUNCAUUA